AAGCACAUAAGAAGGAAGAGAAAUACAGGCAAAAAAGAAAGGGGAUGAUGGAAAGGGACACAUGAAGAGGGUGGAGAGAGUACACCAAGGAUAAGAUGGAGACAGAGAAGAAAAACAUGGGAUUGAUAAUGUGAAAUCAUGAUGGGUGAGCAUCAUUCCUAAAUUUCCCACACGGUGCUUAAAAUCUGAAGGCAAGACCAGUUGAAGAAUAUAAUAGCUCUUUUCCAACUAAUAGGACCAACAGAAAAUAGUAUGUGCUCCCAGUUUUGGGUCCCAAGUCUUUGGUCGAAAACCGCUACUUUAAAAUUGAAUUAUUAGAAUAUGUAAAUGAUUGGUUGGUAGUAUAUGUGGAGGAAGUUGAGUUAUAUAUAGAUGGCACCCAGUAAGAUAUAGGGACUAAUUCCAAACUUAAAAAAAACUAUUUAACCUAUACUUCCAUUUAGUGCAUGGUGAACCCAUUUGGUUGUUCGUGAUAGUGUAAGUGUCAAGUCUUAAAGCAUUGACAUGCUCAAUAAUUACAAGUUUUAUAAUAGUGUCAGAAUAAUUUGGAGGUUCUUUGUAAAUAGUUUUAGAACCCCCCUAGCUAAAAUGUUCACCACUAACAGGACUAUUCUCCAAAUUGCUGGGGAUUCAAAGUGAAUUUGAUAUUCGAGGCAAAAAAAAAAAGCCAAACUGGAAGCAUACCUGACUUAAAAAAUUCUUCCCUAUUUAACUAUUUUGGCUUUAAAUUUAAAAGUCACUUUGAAUUCACAACAAUUCUCACUUUAGUGAUAAAUCUUUUCCCACAGCAUUUGUGCCCAUCAACUGGUUAUUUUUUGUUGCUUAUUGUAUAACUUUUUGCAUUUCAUGUGAUUGUAGUUAAUUGUUUCAAUGAUGACCCCUUUUGUUUGUAAAUAAAUGCUGUGUCAUUUUUAAUUCCAAAACAAGUAUCACUCUCUUUAUUUGUGUAAUUGUGUG